rnacentral:tRNA from 1 species
AGGAAUGUAUUUAAUUAUAAUAACUAAGUUGCAUAUAGUAGGUGUCAUAUAUGACCAUUCUUG